AUAUCAUUAAGCGGAGGAAAAGAAACUAACAAGGAUGCCCUUAGUAACGGCGAGUGAAGUGGGCAAAGCUCAAACUGAAAAUCGGUUCCCCACGCGGGGUUUCGGAAUUGUAGUCUAUAGACGCGCUAUCAGCACUGGCCCGGGUAUAAAUCUUUUGAAACAAGGUGUCAUAGAGGGUGAGAACCCCGUCCAUGACUCGGUGUCCGGUGCGUACGAUGCGUGUUCAAAGAGUCGGGUUGCUUGGGAUUGCAGCCCUAAGUGGGUGGUAAAUUCCAUCCAAAGCUAAAUAUGUGUUGGAGACCGAUAGCGCACAAGUA
rnacentral:rRNA from 1 species